rnacentral:lncRNA from 1 species
UUUAAUUCUUUGGCUUCUUUAUUUGUCAAGUGUUGCUUGUCUUAUUAGAGCAUAAAUUAUACUCUGUUACUCCCCAUUUUUAUGUGACAUUUCUGAACUUGUAGGUGUGAAAGAGAGCCUCGAAUGCAAAGAACUUCAAAAUUUUAUCAAGCAUUGGUCGCAAGGUGAUUGAAAACCAUGGGGUAUAUUUGUUAAUAAACAACACUAUUAUUGAUCUUGAAUGGCACAAUGGUAACAUAAUGCACAUGCAAAGCCACUGCGGAGUUUUUUGGUUAUGCAUUAGGGCGCGUUUGGUUUGUGACCAGAAUUGGAAUGGAUUGGAAUAGAAAUCGGAAUAGCCAUAUCAUACUAGGGGAGAGUAAGGAUUGGAUUUUGGGGGAUUGGGGUCUUUCCGUUCCUCCCUAAAAUCGGAAUGGGAAUGGGACUCCCCUCAACUAAAUGGCUGGAAUAUGAGUCACUCAUUCUCAUUCCUAUUUCAUAAUCCAACUCUCCUCUAAACAAAUAUGCCCUUAAUUUAUUC